GCACUCCCAACCCCUGGGUUCGCAUGAUGACGUCAGGAGAGGGUGUGCACGUGGCCUUAAGACCAGCUGGAGGCUCGCGCUGCUGUAGCAGCUAGAAAAUUGCUCUCGCUCUCUGGAGUCUCCUGGAGAGGCUGAACGCGGCUGGGGCUGACGGCCCUUGCACCAUGUUACUGCAGUUGGAGAGGUAUCAGCGAGAGUGGCAAGAGCUGGAAGAGGAAUUUCAGCAGCUCCAGGAAACUCACAAGGUCUAUAGACAGAAACUUGAAGAACUCAAUAACUUGCAGGCUGCAUGCAGCAGCUCCAUUCGUAAACAGAAGAGGAAAUUAAAAGACUUGAAAUACAGCCUCCAACGGUGCAAAUACAAGUCUAGUCCUGAAGAAUCUGAUCUUGUACAGCGAAUUAACACCCAGAUCAAAGACAGGCAAAAUGUUUUCUUUGACAUGGAAGCCUAUUUACCAAAGAGAAAUGGUUUGUACUUAAAUCUGGUGUUGGGAAAUGUGAAUGUAACUCUUCUAAGUAACCAGGCAAAGUUUGCCUACAAAGAUGAAUAUGAAAAGUUCAAACUUUAUUUGACAAUAAUCUUGUUACUUGGUGCUGUAGCAUGCAGGUUUAUUCUUCAUUAUAGGGUGACAGAUGAAGUGUUUAACUUCCUGUUGGUGUGGUAUUACUGCACAUUGACAAUAAGGGAAAGCAUUCUCAUCAGCAAUGGAUCAAGGAUUAAGGGCUGGUGGGUGUCUCAUCAUUAUGUCUCCACAUUUCUAUCUGGAGUAAUGUUAACAUGGCCAGAUGGACUCAUGUAUCAAAUGUUUCGCAAUCAAUUUUUAGCAUUUUCAAUUUUUCAGAGCUGUGUACAGUUCCUACAGUAUUAUUAUCAAAGUGGCUGCCUUUACAGACUCCGUGCAUUAGGGAAAAGAAACCACUUGGAUCUUACAGUAGAAGGAUUUCAGUCUUGGAUGUGGCGAGGACUGACCUUCCUCCUUCCCUUCCUGUUCUUUGGGCAUGAGUUUGCCAUUGGAGUUCUUCUGUUUGGUUACCUGGCACCACCCUCUUUUUCUUUUAGUGAUUGCAUAUGUCCGUUACGCUACAUAGGUGUGUGCAUGUCUCAUGCAUCAGUGCCAUAGAGUUUUCCCUAGUGGUAACGUGUAUCCCCACUUAGAUAAUUGGCUGGUAUGGGGUCACUCUAGUCAUCAGGUAGAGACCAGCAUCUAUCCAACGUUCAGGCUAUUCAGCAAUUUGGGCCUGAAAAUAAACAGAGAAGACAAUCUAGUCACCUCUCCAAAGAACAGAGUUCAUUGCUGAGGUCCUGGACUUGACCUCUGCCAGGUCUUACCUGUCCCAUCCUAGGUUCCUAGCCAUAGAGGAUCUCUGUGUGUCAUUCAUAUCUCCACCAUGAGUCUCAGUAAGGAAUUGCUUCAGGCCACAUGGCUGCUUGUACUUAUGUGACCCUUUCACAAGGCUUCACUUCCAGUGAAUGCAGAAAUGGCUUGAGUAAUCUACUGCCCAUGGAUUCACCCUCUGGACAAGUUAGUAUGCACCCCAAACAGUGUGGUGUCAUCUCAGAGUUGGUGGAAGAGCCUGAACAACGUGUGUGGGGAAUCCCAUUCUCUGUCUCCCCACUCUAAUUUCGGUAACGGACGCUUCAGACACGGAUCCCUCUGUAUAUCAUAUUCUUCAAGGACAAGAGGCAGCUUAGGCUGCAUCCUAAGUUCCAAACUAAGGUGGUGUCUGAUUUCCACCUAAAGUCUCUAUGCUUGCCUGUCUUACGGAUGGACCAAAGCUGCACACCUAGAUGUUCACUGAGCCUUAGCUUUUAACAUGUUCAGAACAAAGCCCUUUUAGUUUUUCAUCUCCCAUGCAGAACGAAUAAGAGGCCAUCCUGUUUACAGCACAAGACUCUAAAUGGAUCACAAGCUGCAUUGUCAUGGGCUAUCCUGCCAAAGAUAUCAUGUCUCCUGAGAAGCUAGCAGUGCAUUCAACCAGAGUGCACUUGGUUUCCAUGGUGUUUGUGGAAAAUGUUCCUAUUAUGAACAUCUAGAGAGCACAGUGUGAUCUGUGGUCCUUGGUCAAUGCAUGCACUAGAUUCUACUUAAUUAUGGUAGCAUCCAGGGAAGAUGUGAAUGUGGGGAAAGCAAUCCUCCAGCUCCUCUUCUGAUGAGAUUUCUAGCACCACCUACACUGAUAACAAUUGGGGAGUACUUACAGUGUAAUGGACAUAUGCAAUCACUCGAAGAAAAAUGAUACCUCACCUUCUUGUAACUGUUGUUGUUCCAGAUGUGUUGAAUACAUCCAUUAUAUGACCCACUCUCCUUCCCCUAAUGCAUGACUAUCACUGGGAACUUAGUGAGAAGGAACUGAAGGACAGGUGAGGCAGUUCCAUCCUAUAUAGCUUGUAGCGGGAGGAAGCCAGGGCACAUGUGGGGCUGCCCCUAUGGGUACAACUUAGGAAAACUCUCUGGCACCUGUGACAAGACCUGCAUGCACCUACAGUGUCAGGACAUAUGCAAUACAUCUUGAAAAACAAGUUACAAGAAGUUUUGGCAGCUCUAUAAUGCAAUCACACUUUUUGAACUGUCUAGGCAUACGGAAUGCAAAGAAUGGCAGGUUUUUGUACUGGCUCUCACAUUUCUGCUGCUCUUCCUUGGAAACUUUCUUACUACUUUAAAAGUGGUGCA